rnacentral:rRNA from 1 species
UACAGAGGGUGCGAGCGUUGUCCGGAAUCACUGGGCGUAAAGGGCGCGUAGGUGGCGACCCAAGUCCAUGGUGAAAGCUCGAUGCUCAACGUCGAGUCGGCCACGGAUACUGGGUUGCUGGAGCACUGUAGAGGCAGAUGGAAUUCCGGGUGUAGCGGUGGAAUGCGUAGAGAUCCGGAAGAACACCGGUGGCGAAGGCGGUCUGCUGGGCAGUUGCUGACACUGAUGCGCGACAGCGUGGGGAGCAAACAGG